CCUUGGUGUUGUGGUAUUUUACAGGUGUUUCCAUCUCCUCCUGUAUGUUGUCCUAUUAACAAAGAGGAGAGAUACUGCAAGUUAACAUCUUGGAAAGCAAAUAAGGUAUUUGCAGUAAGAUGUGCCUUCCUUUUUGGAGUAUGUUAAUGUUGAUGCUCUGCGCAAAAACCUUGGAGGUAGUGAUAGAAGAUCAAGCACGUCAUUCUCGGUGGCAGACAUUAAAAGUGGAAGACGGACAUACCACCUACCACUAUCUGAAGAGACACUCGGACGGAACUUUUACUAAUGACCUGACUAACCAACUAGAUUUGCUAAAGGCUAAAGACUUCGUUGCUUGGCUGGCUAGCACCAAACGUGAGAGUCAACAGAAGCGAGGUCUUCAGGAAGACAGGAUGAAGACUGGGGAACUGGUCACUCUGCUCAAUCAAGCAUGGGAAUGGAGCUAACCACACUCAAAAGUGAAUAUUCCACGUAUAUUCACUAUUCUUGGUCAAUCUUGGUCAGAGUUAAAGUAAUUGUACUGUAGCCUUAUUGUUGCCUAAUGUCGUUGUAUACAGUAUAUGGCUAGAAAAAGUUCCUUUUUAGAUGGGAUAAAGUGGACCCUUGAGGUUCUCCAGAAAAGGUAUGGUGCGACUAAGUGUCCUCUCUAAAUAUUAUCAACAAACUAAAAACAGUUGUUUCGAUUGAGGGCUACCAUCUGAUUUGUAUUGCUUCAUUCUUUCCCUUUUCCAAAAGAUAGAGAAAACACCUAACCUGACUCUCGCCAGAUGUAUUUUGUUCCGCCUAGCUCC